rnacentral:rRNA from 1 species
GACGAACGCUGGCGGCGUGCCUAACACAUGCAAGUCGAACGGAAAGGCGCUGCUUUUGUGGGGUGCUCGAGUGGCGAACGGGUGAGUAACACGUGUGUAACCUGCCCCUGACUGUGGGGUAACAUCAGGAAAAAGGGGCUAAUACCGCAUAGGAGCUCCUGCUGCACGGUGGGGGUUGGAAAGUUUCGGCGGUUCGGGAUGGACUCGCGGCUUAUCAGCUUGUUGGUGGGGUAGUGGCUUACCCAGGCUUUGACGGGUAGCCGGCCUGGGAGGGGGACCAGCCACAUGAGGCCUAAGGGAGGGCCCAGACGCCAACGUGAGGCAGUGGGGGAAAGUAUUGCGCAAUGAGCCGAAGCCUGAGACAACGGCCCCGCGGGCGGAAUGACGGCCUUCGGGUGAUAAACCGCUUUCGCCUGUGACGUAGCCUGAGUGACGGUAAUGGGUAAAGAAGCACCGGCUAACUACGUG